UGCGCAUAUAUUUAUAUAUAUAUAUGUAUGUGUGCGUGUGUGUGUGUGUGUAUGUAAAUACAUGAGUACAUAUUACAAAGAAUAUGUAU
rnacentral:miRNA from 12 species